rnacentral:tRNA from 1 species
GCUGAUAUAGCUCAGUAGGUAGAGCGCAUCCAUGGUAAGGAUGAGGUCAGGGGUUCGAAUCCCCUUAUUAGCU